rnacentral:rRNA from 1 species
GAUGAACGCUGGCGGCGUGCUUAACACAUGCAAGUCGAACGGAAAGGCCCAAGCUUGCUUGGGUACUCGAGUGGCGAACGGGUGAGUAACACGUGGGUGAUCUGCCCUUCACUUCGGGAGAAGCCUUGGAAACUGGGUCUAAUACCGGAUAGGACCACAUUUUGGAUGGUGUGGUGGAAAGUUUUUCGGUGUGGGAUGAGCUCGCGGCCUAUAAGCUUGUUGGUGGGGUAAUGGCCUACCAAGGCGUCGACGGGUAGCCGGCCUGCGAGGGUGUACGGCCGCAUUAGACUCCUACGACAGGCAGCAGUAGGGAGGGUGGCAGAAGGGGGGAAUGUUGGACGAAGCGAGGAAGCGUGAUUGAUGGAGGCCGCGUGGGCGAUGACCGCCUUCGGGUUGUAAGAACCUUUCGCUAGGGAACAAGCGUUUUUGUGACGGUACCUGAAGAAGAAGCACCGGCUAACUACGUG